GUUGGGAUGGCCGAGUGGUCUAAGGCGGCACAUUCAGGGUGUGUUCCGAAAGGGCGUGGGUUCGAAUCCCACUCUCAACA
rfam:Triticum aestivum genome assembly, contig: Triticum_aestivum_CS42_TGACv1_scaffold_232180_3B